rnacentral:rRNA from 1 species
UAUGUGAUCGUCUCUCGCAUAUCAAUAAGCGGAGGAAAAGAAACUAACAAGGAUUCCCUUAGUAACGGCGAGUGAAGCGGGAAGAGCUCAAAUCUGAAAUCUUCAAGGUUUUACCUUGACGAAUUGUAGUUUAAAGAAGUGUUUUCUGUUGAAGUUUUGGUAAAAGUUCUUUGGAAUAGGACAUCAUAGAGGGUGAGAAUCCCGUAUUUGACCAUUAUUUUCAGCUGUGUGAUACACUUUCAAAGAGUCGGAUUGUUUGGGAAUGCAGUCCAAAAUGGGUGGUAAAUUUCAUCUAAAGCUAAAUAUUGGCGAGAGACCGAUAGCGAACAAGUACCGUGAGGGAAAGAUGAAAAGAACUUUGAAAAGAGAGUUAAACAGUACGUGAAAUUGUCAAAAGGGAAGCGUUUGACACCAGUGUUGUUUUCUCGAAAAUCAAUUAAAAAGAGUUUAGAUUUUGUUGUGUAUUGACCUUAACAGCUUGCAUUUCAAUUUUCUUGCUUUUUUUAAUGCACUUUUCGUUUAACAAGUCAACAUCAGUUUCUUUUGUUGUAAAAAGGUCAUUGGAAGGUGGCUUUCUUUUCGGAGAAAGUGUUUAUAGCCUUUGACUCCUGCAAUCGGAGAGACUGAGGUCUGCAGCGUAGAUCCUUCGGGGUUAGAUACAUUUGUGCUAAGUUAUAGCUUUUUAUAGACAACUUGUUGACUAUGAUUAGUCUUGUAGCUCACUCGCUUAUGCUAUUUUACCUACGCUUAGGAUGUUGAAGAUGUAGCACAUCAU